rnacentral:ncRNA from 1 species
UAAAAGUCUAUGAAGAAGAGAGUAACAGUGGAAUGCUGCACAAGCGAGCCGGGUUGAUGGGAGCCGGCGUAGUUGAAACUGUGAACCGCACUUCGGAGGCGACAGCCUGAAUAAUUGUAGGACUGUCCGGGAACUCCCGUUAUAGAGUCUUAAGCAGAUUCCCUUUUUGAAGUGACGUUCAAUCGAACUUUUUGAACCGGUGUUCAAAAAGAAGGACAAAAAGAGCCGAGCAGAUCGAGGAAACGCAGUUUCGAGCACCGGAGCGUAUGCAUGAAUACGUGAGGAACGGAGAAACAAGUUGACGAUGAGAUGCGACAGGGAUUUUUCCCAGACUUUUUGAACCUUCAUUGUGGGAAUAACUAGAGUGGUACCGCGGGCAUAGUGAUCAACGCUCGUCUCUUUU